rnacentral:lncRNA from 1 species
UCGGAUUGGGUCAUUGCAGCCUUUCUCAGAAGAUUGCUUGAAACCAAAUCGGCCCCCUUUUUCAAGGUACUGCUGGUGGUAUUCCUCUGCUCGGUAGAAUUUCUUGGCAGGCAGAAUUUCAGUAACAAUCUUCCUGUUCAUUAGUUUCUGAUGUUGUUCCAAAGAUUCUCUUGCUGCCUUCUCUUGCUCUGGUGUGUAGAAGUAUAUUCCCGACCUAUACUGUGUUCCCACAUCGUUCCCCUGCCCAUCAAGCAUUGUUAAGCUGUUAGGUUAUAGGAUCUACUAAGGAUGAUCAACAUCAGAAUAAUCUAAUGUUAGUGUUACACAUUUUUAUUACUGAAGAAAUACCGAUUCAAAUAAAGUUCACCUAAGCUGCAAUUGCCAACUAGAGAGAAGACAUAACAUAAGCAAGCCAAAUUCAGACUCUCAAGCACAUACCAAUUUUCUUCACAGUUUUAGGUUACUCUUGAUGCUGAAACAACUAACUCUCAAGACACAUUUGCUACUUGGUUUUUAGUUUCAAUAAGCUUUCAAUAUCAUAUUGAUAAGAGCAUGUUCUGCUCAUAAUUUUUUGUGGUUAUCCUACAAACAAUGGUUAGCCAACAGCACAAGAUGGCAUUCAUCAGAUGACAUCUCACUUUAAUGAACUUAGCAAUCCAAAAACUCAAAAGCCAUUUCGCAAUUUAAAUGAGGAUUCAGCAGAAGCAGGGACACACCCGCUUUUGUGAUUUAAAUGUGCAUGCAGCACAAGCAGGGUGAUCACCUGCUUCAGCUAUUGCAAUACAGAGCUCCUCUUUAAUAAUAUUCUUUACAAAACCAAAACUACCAUUUUACUCCCUCACUUUCCCCUUUUCAUGUAUCUUUGAUUAGGGAGUGAAAGUCUCUCGAGGAAAAGAAGACUUUAGAAUCCCAUAUAACAACUUAGGUGUAAAGGCACAGUGAUAUCAGGAAGAGGUAAGGAGCUGCUCUUAUAUCCUCCCACUGAUUUAGACCAUCCACAUCUAGUAGGUCUUAAAAAGGCAACAGUAGUUUCUCCUUGACGAGACCAAAUUCUGUGUCUAAUACCCAAUUGACAUGUAUUCUUCAGUAAGUUGGACAUCACAUAAUUCAAGGAGGCAGAAACUAUUUGCAGGCAAUGUACACCCAAGUGCAAAGACUGAAACAAGCUUUAAUACCCAAAAAUAGUCUUCAGAGAGUAUUCUAUUUUUCUUCGAAAGCACUAUAACAACCGAAGCAGAAAAGCCAGCCUCCAAGGAAAUGAAGAUACUGGAUCAGCUCAGCCAGUAAAUGCAACAGAGUGGAAAAGGCAAACAAAGGUAAUGAGAAAAAAAGGAACAAAAUAUUAGUAAUCUGAGCCUUCUGGCUGCAAAAAUGCUGGAAGACUAUUCUUAUCCAGAGCAUUUUAGGGUAGUCCUAAAAGCAGGGGUCCAUAUACAUGCGACCUUAGGAGACACCUCAGAUGUCAAAGUUUGUGCGAAAGAUAUCCUCAUUAGAAUCCGCCUGUUGGGAGGAAUCCAGCCGUUCCAAAACACACUACAUCACUUGCCUAGAAUAGAGACAAAACAACUUUGAAAAUACUUGAAAAUGGAAAACCUUGCCUCACAUAUUUUCAAAACACAUUGAUUUUUAUCUCCACUCAAAAAUUAAAACCUGAAUUGUCUGGGUGGAAGUUACACACAACAUGCACUUGCUUCUAAAUAACCUCUCAGACUCUCCUGGAAGCAUUUGCUGCUGAAUUGUUUAUCCCUAUUAACAGAUCAUCCAAAACUGAAGAAAGGAAAAACUGAGAUAUCCGAAUCAGCAUCUUAUUUCUGCCAACACAAGAACCUUUUUAUCAGAUGUACUGUGCCUUGAGAAGAAACCCACCAUGAACAUCAGCCACAAGAGCACCAUUAUAACAACUGCCUCAACACAUUCUGAAACAGGCAA